rnacentral:rRNA from 1 species
UAGGGAAUCUUCCACAAUGGACGCAAGUCUGAUGGAGCAACGCCGCGUGAGUGAAGAAGGCUUUCGGGUCGUAAAACUCUGUUAUUGAAGAAGAACGUGUGUGACAGUAACUGGUCAUGCAGUGACGGUAUUCAAUCAGAAAGUCACGGCUAACUACGUGCCAGCAGCCGCGGUAAUACGUAGGUGGCAAGCGUUGUCCGGAUUUAUUGGGCGUAAAGCGAGUGCAGGCGGUCUUUUAAGUCUGAUGUGAAAGCCUUCGGCUUAACCGAAGAAGGACAUCGGAAACUGGGAGACUUGAGUGCAGAAGAGGAGAGUGGAACUCCGUGCGUAGCGGUGAAAUGCGUAGAUAUAUGGAAGAACACCAGUGGCGAAGGCGGCUCUCUGGUCUGUAACUGACGCUGAGGCUCGAAAGCGUGGGUAGCAAACAGGAUUAGAUACCCUGGUAGUCCACGCCGUAACGAUGAAUACUAAGUGUUG